rnacentral:miRNA from 15 species
UCGCUCAUCAUCUGGUUGUGAAA